CGGUUAUGUAUCGUCUUGACUCAGAAUUAGUUUGAACCUCAAAGUCUUCACGUGCAUUAGAAUUCACAUAGUUUUCUACUUUUUUCUGUUUAUUCAUCUCAUUUUUGUUUUUACUUAAAUCUAGCUUUCUUUUAAUAUAUUGCCUUUUUUGAUUAUCUUUAAAUGUUUUUUAAUGAGUUUGCUUGUAUAUAGCAUUUGACAUUUUUGAUGAUUGUACAACUUUUUCAGGAUGUGACAGUCGGUAUGUUGCAUUGGCUUUCUUCAAAGACUCUUUUACUUUUUUAGGAUUUAAACGUCUGUACGUUGCAUUUGCUUUUUGCCAAGAUUCCUUAAUUUUUUGAGAAUGAGAAUUCUUAUAUUUUUUGUUAUAAGACUUUCUUCUCUGAGAUUCUUUUUUUUUAAAUUCACUAUCGUUUCUCCUUUUUUUCAUGUAUUCUUUCAUGUAUUUUUUCUCUUUUCCAACUUGUUGUUUGUAUCAGGUUGGCAAAAUUGUGUAUUUUGCGAGCAUAUGUUUGGUUUGUUAGUUUUGUUUUUUUCUGUUGUUUCAUUAACACUCUGUGUAGGCCUAAUAGGCGUUGUUGACACAUAAUGCAGUUCAUCAAGAUGUCCGACAUAAAUGUCUCUUAUGUUUGCUACAGAUUCAGCAUAAACAGAGCUUACAACUGUUGAUUCUGAAAAAUUUGGGGCACUUUCAGUUAUGUGAAUUCUCAAAUUAUUCGAAUUCGCAACUGCCUGUAUAACAAUAUGAUCAGCCCAUGUACCUAGCAUUGACAUGUCCUGUAAAUAUUGUAUCCAAGAUUGACGUGUGUUACUUUCUAUAAAAUGUUCUGGGCAGUUUAUUAAAUGCUGGAUUGCGAGAGCUCUUAUUUGCGAAUGACAAUCUUCUGUUCUGUAAAGUUGGUGGCUUACACUACGAAAGAAACAAUUACCAUCACCAACAAUGUUUACUGGGUUUAGUCCUAUUCUAGCUAAUCUUGAUGUUAGAAUUGACAGUGGCGUAUUCGCAACAGGGCCUGGAUUCAAUUCUAUAUCACCACUCACAAAUAAAAAACAUCUGUCAGAUGUCUUUAGCCUUCGUUUGUUGCAUUUAUUUGUGCUUAGAGCCUUUCUUGACUUAAACAACUUGUGUUUUCUUGUCCUGAUUUUUAAUAUUUCCAAUUUGUGCAUUUUCAAUUUCUUAGCUUGACAUGGCUUCCUAAAUUUGCAGAAAUAUACAUUUGAAUUUGCUUGUCGCUGAAUGAAAUUUUUUCGGUAACUUGUUGAAAGCAAAUUAUGCCAAGAUGAUGAUUUGGGAAUUAACUGCCUUAUGAACUUUUUUACUUUACGCCUUUUUUUCUUAUUUUUUCUCAUAUAAACUAAUUUUUUCAUAGGAAUCCUAGAUGGUUCACGAUCACGCUUUUUAACAUAUACUAAAUGACUUAUACUUCGAAGUCUACUUCGAUUGAAAGUGUUAGACUCAUUAUAAUCCAAAUGCUUGUUUUGUAUUGUUAACAUAAGUAAAACUUCACUUUUUAUUUUUGCACAGGUAUCAUUGCUUUCUGAGAGUGAAGUAAGAAAUGUUUCGAAAUUACAAGUAUCGUUGACCUUUGACUUUUUCCCAAGGUCACCUUCAAUAUUGUAUUGACUAAUAACUGUUUCACAUAUGCGUAAUUGUUCUUUUUCAUAUAAAGUUUUGAUAGUUUCUGAUAAGUUCUCAUAGUUGCUCAUAAGUGCUAAUAGUUUCUCAUAAGUUCUCGAUAGUUUCUCUCUCAAUCGAACACGAUUUUGCACCGUUGUGCUAGACCCGUGAACAAGGUCCGUGUCGAUAACACGUGGGCUAUCUCCUUGCCUUGCUCCUCGAUUACAUAAGGCUCGCUGGCAAGUCAAGCGAUUGUCGAUAGCACACCGGCUAUCUCCUCGUC
rnacentral:lncRNA from 1 species